AGGUGUUGCAUUUUCUACAAAUCGAAUGCAAGACAUGCCACCAGCAGAGAUUUAUUGCGAUACUCGCUUUAUUAUGGUGAUCUGGAACCAAACCUGCAAUACCUCUGAGCAUAAAGAAGUCUUUUCCAGAAUCCUACGUGGAGGAUGUCUACCUGUCUCAUUGAUCAGAAUAGUGCCAGUUACUCAUGUCUAAGUCAGUCACUGGCAAGGAAAAUGGAGUCACCAUUUUUUAAUGAAAUGGAUCAAAAGUCACCUUCCUGUAGCUAAGAAGGACCUAGCUUCCGGGAAAUGUAUGGUGUUAGAUUUCUGGACAAAGAAGAUACCUAUUAGCAAAGGAAAAGUAGUGUGGCUUCAGUCUGGAUCCUGAAACAGCCUGGGCCAGGGGUUUCAGAAAAGAAAUUAUGGAGCUGAAUCAUCAGUUAAC